rnacentral:rRNA from 1 species
AGAACGAACGCUGGCGGCAUGCCUAAUACAUGCAAGUCGAACGAACACUUCGGUGUUAGUGGCGCACGGGUGCGUAACGCGUGGGAAUCUGCCCUUGGGUUCGGAAUAACAGUUGGAAACGACUGCUAAUACCGGAUGAUAUCGAAAGAUCAAAGAUUUAUCGCCCAGGGAUGAGCCCGCGUAGGAUUAGCUAGUUGGUGAGGUAAAGGCUCACCAAGGCGACGAUCCUUAGCUGGUCUGAGAGGAUGAUCAGCCACACUGGGACUGAGACACGGCCCAGACUCCUACGGGAGCAGCAGUAGGGAAUAUUGGACAAUGGGCGCAAGCCUGAUCCAGCAAUGCCGCGUGAGUGAUGGAAGGCCGUUAGGGUUG